UCUGGGUCGCAUGCCUAUUCCCCGUGCUUGGUUUCACACAUCGGGUGUCUGUGCUACGCAUUGUAUGCUCGUGGUGUUAACAAGCCGGUGGUUUGGUCGUGUAACCUUUCUGCCGUGUCUGUGUCUUUGCCGGUUAAACGGAAAGCGCAGGUGUUGGUCUGACCGUGCUUGCACGGGAAGUCGACAUGCUUUAGAGUGCACUUUGUUGGGCGCUCGAAGCGGGCGGCAAGUUUACUUUGAACAAAUUUGAGUGCUCAAAGCAGGCCGUAGAGCCUGAAAAGUCUUGCAUGGAAUAAUAAAAUAGGACUUCGGUUCUAUUUNGUUGGUUUUCGGAUCCGAAGUAAU
rnacentral:rRNA from 1 species